rnacentral:rRNA from 1 species
GACGAACGCUGGCGGCGUGCUUAACACAUGCAAGUCGAACGGAAAGGCCCUGCUCUUGUUGGUUGCUCGAUUGGCGAACGCGUGAGUAACACGCGUGUAACCCGCCCCUGUCUUUGGGAUAACUUCACGGAAAUCGGGCUCAUACCGGAUAGGAGCUCCUGCUGCAUGUGGGUGGUUGGAAAGUUUGGGCGGUUGUGUCUGGUCUCGAGGCUUACCGGCUUGUUGGUGAGGUAGUGGCUUUCCAAGGCUUCGACGGGUAGGCGGCCUGGGAGGGUGACCGGGCACCUUGGGACUGAGGGACGGCGCAGAAUCGUACGGGAGGCAGCGGUGGGAAGUAUUGCGCAACGGGCGGAAGCGUGAUGCGACAACGCCGGGUGCGGAAUGCCGGGUUUCGAGUUGAAAACAACUGUCGACUGUGACGAAGCGGGAGUGACGGUAAUGGAUAAAGAAGCACCGGCUAACUACGUG